CUAUACCUUGUUAGACUUUUAUUUAGGCUUACAUUAAAUUUUAUUGGUUUUAUUAAAACUUGGGUUGAUUGGAUAGUUCUUUGCUGUGUUAGCUCAUGUUGUUGGUGAUCAAUUGUUAAUGGGCUUAGCAUCUGUGUGUAAAGUCUAGGUGAAGCAGAAGUGUGGGCUUUUCUAGUUGACUGAAGCCUUUGAUGAGCAGGCCCAGCCCAACUAGGGUUUUGUAGCUAAGUCCCCUCCCUAACUCUAUAAAUACAUAUUGUCUCAUCACAAUUGUAUACAUUUUGAUAAUCAGAUAAAAUAAACUGCUUCUGAUUUAGAGAUCUAGGGAGGAAGACUUAGUUGAUAGUAUUGCACUAUCGAAUUGGAGUAAUUGCUGUGGAUCAAACUGAGAUAAUUGCUAUGGAUCAAUCAGCAAAUUCCAUCUAAAGAGAGUUGAGAGAGCGAGGAAGCUCGAACUUCAAUACCGAAACUAUCACAGGGAUUGAAGCUGAAAGAUCAAUGGUUGGAGGAGCCUAAGCUUCUCCGAGUCCAUGCAGAGCAAAUUCGGAGGCAAAUGCAAGAGGUUGCUGCUGGUAUUACCGAGCUUUUAUUGCUAUCGAUGAUGCCUUGCUCUCUAUUCAAGGAGAAGUAUCUUCCAUUGAUAAGCAUCUUGAAUCUAUGUCUGAAGACUUAAGCAACUCUACCAGCAAUUUUUUCGUGCAGCAGCUUCCCAAGUCCUUUCCUGAUCGACGAAGAUAGUGGUUGUUUGGGGUUCCCAUAGCGGUUCGCGGUUCAUCGAGGUUCGUGGCUGUUCGAAGUUGAUGACGGUUACUUUUUGAUGGCGAUUAGUGGUCAACGAUGCUUCUUGGACUUGUGGUUGCCAUUGAAGAGGCUGAAAAUAUUUGGGAUUAAUUUUCUUUUCUGAUUUUUAUUGUUUUGGUCAUGCUCAUUUAUGGGUUUGUAGUCCUUUUUCUUAGCUAUUUUGUUCAUGCCUAUCUUUGAAUUUGUAGUCAUUUCUGUUAAGAGUUUAUGCUUUUAUCUUAUUUUGAAAUGCUUAUUAUUAUUUU